UACGUAGGGGGCAAGCGUUGUCCGGAUUUACUGGGCGUAAAGAGCGCGUAGGCGGCCAGAUAAGUCCGGUGUGAAAGUCACAGGCUCAACCUGUGAAUGCCGCUGGAAACUGUCUGGCUAGAGUCCGGGAGGGGCGAGUGGAAUUCCUGGUGUAGCGGUGAAAUGCGCAGAUAUCAGGAGGAACACCAAUGGCGAAGGCAG
rnacentral:rRNA from 1 species